GAUGAACGCUGGCGGCGUGCCUAAUACAUGCAAGUCGAGCGAACAGACCAGGAGCUUGCUCCCCUGACGUUAGCGGCGGACGGGUGAGUAACACGUGGAUAACCUACCUAUAAGACUGGGAUAACUUCGGGAAACCGGAGCUAAUACCGGAUAAUAUAUUUAACCGCAUGGUUCAAUAGUGAAAGACGGUUUUGCUGUCACUUAUAGAUGGAUCCGCGCCGCAUUAGCUAGUUGGUAAGGUAACGGCUUACCAAGGCGACGAUGCGUAGCCGACCUGAGAGGGUGAUCGGCCACACUGGAACUGAGACACGGUCCAGACUCCUACGGGAGGCAGCAGUAGGGAAUCUUCCGCAAUGGGCGAAAGCCUGACGGAGCAACGCCGCGUGAGUGAUGAAGGUCUUCGGACCGUAAAACUCUGUUAUUAGGGAAGAACAAAUGUGUAAGUAACUAUGCACGUCUUGACGGUACCUAAUCAGAAAGCCACGGCUAACUACGUG
rnacentral:rRNA from 1 species